UACGUAGGGGGCAAGCGUUGUCCGGAAUCAUUGGGCGUAAAGAGCGCGUAGGCGGUCCGGUAAGUCCGCUCUGAAAGUCCGGGGCUCAACCCCGGGAGGCGGGCGGAUACUGUCGGGCUAGAGUCCGGAAGAGGCGAGUGGAAUUCCUGGUGUAGCGGUGAAAUGCGCAGAUAUCAGGAGGAACACCAAUUGCGAAGGCAGCUCGCUGGGACGUAACUGACGCUGAGGAGCGAAAGCGUGGGGAGCGAACAGG
rnacentral:rRNA from 1 species